rnacentral:lncRNA from 1 species
AUCUCUUAUGGCAAGGUUGCGGCUACUCCUUGUUUAUUUCUGUUAAGAUCGGGAACCCGGGUAGUGUGGAAUUUAACCAAACAACGGUAUAAUGACAAUAAUAAAGAUAAUGCAAGUUGAUAACAACGACAAUUAAAGCAUAUAAAGAGACACCAAUUUAAUGUGGUUCAGUCAGUGUGACUUACGUCCACAAGCGGAUAGGAGCAAUUUUAAAGGAGAUUUGUUUGGGUAUUCUUUCAACAGAUGUACUGGAUGAAAAUGGGCUAACUAAAUGGACAUUUUACAGAAAUGAUAGAAGUAGAAUUGGCAAAAGAAAACAAUAAUUACCCUCAUUCCUCCAAUCACCAAUAGAGCUGAACAGCUAGGAUGAAAGACACAAGAGUGGAACUGAUUCUCAUGGAUGCAAUCACCGGUGGUCAAUGACCAAACUUUAACGGACUCCUCACUUACUGAUGCCAGUAGAUCACCAUUGAGAUCCCAACAAAGGUAGUUCACCACUCCAGAAUGUCCCUAUAAACACAUUUACUUUGGGAUGACUGGAAGAUCCAGAAAAUACAAAAGUGCCAGAAACAUAAAUUGAUCGAGUAACAGUCAAUUUAAUCCACCAAAAGAGGGAAGGUAACGAUGAACCUGGAAAGACUGUAGUUGCCUGUCAUUUUCGACGUCAAAGAUUGAAACCACCUUAUCUGAUGCGGCAGCCAGCUGAUGACCAGUUAUGGGCUGGAAUCUCACUUGUGCACUGCCUCCUUGCAACAAAUAGAAAGAGGAGACAAAUUGAAGAUAGUUCAAUGCAAAAUUAUCACCUAUAGUUAAUCGAACGAGGUGCGGCAUUUGUCGACGUUGUUAACUUUAAGGCAACGUUUCCUUGGUUGUAUAUUUGGAGAAAUAGAAAUAAACUUCAUGCAUUUGUGCUUUGUUCAUACACUUGGAGAAAUUUACAUAUAUUUUUUUGUUGUCGUUGGCUGGUUGUCACUACCCAAAUUUUCCUCCGUAGGAUGUCAUGAUGAUACCUAGUUUUAAAGACUAGGUAAGCCUAACACUUACUGAAUUAGAGAUGACUCAACCAAAAAGUAUUAAAUAUGAAAUAGAAAUUUCUUACAAUCCCAAAACCGGUAGUACAGUCACAAGCUUUACAGAGUUUACUAGAAAAAUCUCUAAAUACAACUGUUCUAGAAUAGAAUCAACAGUGCAGGAAAAUAUCAGAAAGUGACUCUGAGGCCUGCGAACGGGACAACAGGUAUACCUUAAGUCUACACAACAAUGUCUAAUCUAUUAGCAAGAUUAUCAACAACUCUGAGGUACCUGGAUUUGCACAAAAAUGUGUAGAAUAGUAGCAUGAGUACACCACAGCGGUAAGUAUCAAGCCUAACCUCGGUAGAGUAGUGACGAGGCGAGGUCAAGACACCGACCGGACAUGUAAACCUGUACAAAAGGCAACAUAAAACUAACAAGGAAAGAAUAUCAAUGUAAGGCCAAUAACGGGAGAAAUUACAAUUCAAAUCAACAAUGAGAACACGGAUAACAACGAGAAAAUAAUCAAGUAAUUAAGCAACAAUAUAGUGAGAGUACAAAUGACAUAUGAAUGAGUUCAAGUAAGGAAUCAUAUGACAAAUCAAUCAAUUAAAUUAUUUAUGAUGCAUGUAUUUCAACAUAAAUUAUCCGAGAUAUCACUCCUCGAAAUCUCAACUCAUGAUUCACAACUCCCAAUUCUUACACACGUGGCAUCUUGUACCCAUAGCUUCCGAAUCACUUUUGUAUGGCAAAAUCCUGGUGCUACCAUGUGUAUAAUUUCCGUAUCAAUAUCAACCAAGACGAUCAAUGAAUAAUUUAAACACAAUUAAAUACAAUUUUCAAAUUAAAUACAGCGAAGCAUCAUGAGUCAUUAAGCCAAUUUAGGAUUUAAAUAAGAUAAAAUAGUGGAGAGGUUGUACAAAUAGAAAAUCAAUUGAGUUUAGUUUAGAAGUAUAUGAGAUCCGAGAAAAUAUUGUAUUUAUACAAAAUAAUACAUUCAACCAAGUUUUAACGAGAUAAAUAUGGGAUUUAUUAAAGUAAAACGAAAUAAUAAUUUUUCACGCAAAUUACACGACAAUAGGAUAAUGAGAAGGUUGAGAUAUCAAUUAGAGUAAAAAUAUAAUCACCAUUUAAUUUAGUAAAUCUCCGAAUAAGAUAUGAGUUUUAUUUUUGAAAGACACACAAGGGGAACAACUUGAAAAUUCUUUCAUUUACCUCUGCUAUAUUCUCAGCAACUUAACAUAUCACACAGGCUGCAUGACUCGCACAAGGAGUCAAUAUUGUUCCAUUUUUAAUAUACUGACAGUUAAAUGAUCAAAAUACAAUGAAGUGAUUUAAGAAACCACAGUAACCGUUCUAACAUGAAAUAUAUCAUGAGAAUCACAAUCAGAAUUAACCUUAAUAUCACAAUAAUUUCAUAUCUGUACAUUUGGUGCAGCGUGCAACCCCAUCCCAUACAAUAUUAAUCAUAUAUGUUGCGGCGUGCAACACGAUCUCACACAAUAAUAAUCAUAUCUGUUGCGGCAUGCAACACGAUUUCUCACAAUAAUAAAUCAUAUUUGUUGCGGCGUGCAACCCGAUUCCUUACAAUAAUAAAUUAUAUCUGUUGCGACGUGUAACCCGAUCCCUUACAAUAAUAAAUCAUAUUUGUUGCAGGUGCAACCCGAUCCUCAAGCAACACAAAUUAGGCAACCAAUUUACAACCAACUAGGGUAUAUCACAAAAUCAAAAGAAAUAACGAGGCUACACAAAGAAGUCACAACUAAUGAAAAAGGCUACACGAUAGCUCACGAAAUCAAAUAGAAAGCAAAUGACAAUCCAUAAGCCAAGGCACAAUUUUUGAGAAUCAAUUGACAAUUAAGGCAUGUAGCAGGUAAAGCAUGAAUUCAAUGAGUGAUUACAAUUAACAAUUAGCAUAUAAGGUUGAACUUGACAACAAGGAUGGAACAUGUGCUAACAAUUUCAAGUAAAGCACGAACAAACAAUUUUAACAACAAAAGAUAUAAUCAUGAAACGAUAUUUACAAUCAAUUGUAUAAAGGAGCCUAACGGUCUAAACCUGUCAAAUACCACAUAUAGGUCGUGUAACCACUCGUCACCUCGCGUACACGACCUUUACAUGACACGAAUGACACAAUCAUCUCAAAUCCUAAGGGGUGAUUUUCCCCAUACAAAGUUAGACAAGAUACUUACUUUAACGAAGUUAGGUCGAUAUUCCAAAAUAGCUUUCUUGUACAAAAUGACCUUCGAACGGCUCCAAUCUUUAUUGCCGAAUCUGAAUUUUAAAGGUUUGCAAUUCAACAAACGGCCAAACACCAGCGACCAUGACCGAAAACUAGCGAUGACGAACUCGACCUCAACUCUCUUUGUGGUGGUUUAAAGUCUGAUUGGCGAUGGUUCUUGGACUAAUUUAUAGCUGAGAUUAAGCUCUGGUUUUUCAUGUUUUUGGAGCUGAUUUUACUGUGUUCUUGAGGCUGUUUUGUGGUGUCUUAGAUUUGAUUUUCGAGACUGUUGUUUUGGACGGUUUUGCAGCUAUUUUUGAGGUGGAGAUGUGCGUUUUUAAGGUUGAAGAGAGCGGGUAUAGUGGCUGGUUUUAGGGCUGUUUUGGGUGGUUUUCGGGGCUGUAAUUUUGAUGGUUUUGAGGCUGUAAAUUGGUGGUUUUGGGGCCUAAUUUCAGCAGGUUUUGGGGAGGUUUCUGGGCUGGAAUUUGGGGUGUUUGGAGCUGAUUUUUGCAGCUAUUUUCUGGUCUUUGGUGGUGGUUUAAUGGAGGUUUUAUGGCUGAACUUUCAUGGCCGUUUGGGGCUAGAUUUGGGAUAUUUUUCAGCUCAUUUUUUGAGUGAUUCUGUGGGUAAUAUUUACUUGAAUUUAAGGAUGUUUUGUGACUGUGUAAUAGAGGUUUUAUGGCUGAAUCUCUGAUCAUUUUUAGAAGUUUCAAGAUGUGGUAUUAAUGAAGGUUUUCAGGCGGGUUUCAUGGAGGAAGAGGGUGGCUCUCAUGGCUGAACUAAAGAUAAGAAGAAGGAUUUUUGGGCUUUUGCUGGCAGCCUUUUUGGACCUCUAGCUCUAAGGUCUUUUUUUGCCCUUCCCUGUUUUCCGUAUUCUCUUUCUUUUUUAUGUUUUUUUUUUCAAGUUUGAUCCUGAAUCGUUCGAAAACCAAACUCGACCACAUAUGCAAGUUAUAAUACACAUUACGAAACUGCUCGAGAUCUUAAGCCGCUGAACGGAAUGCUAAUUCUCAAAAUGACAUGUCGGGUCGUUACAUUCUCCACCUCUUAAACAAACGUUCCUCCUCGAACGUGCUAAGAAUUAUUCUGAGGUUAUCAAAUUGCUGAUUUUACUCUUACACAUAUACUCGCGGGUGAUCCCAUGUCUCCCCAAUUAUCAUAAGUCUGGUACUACUAUCUCCAUUAAGAUUAUUUCUCAUGUCUACCCUUAUAGACCUUGGAACCAAUUUCUUACACUCCAAACAUUUUCAAAAGGUUUGAUUUUCAUAUCGACACACAGUAUUAGCCUCAACCGGAUGCAGCAACUCGUGCCUACACUCGCACGGUACAACAACAUAACUUACCGCAAUAUGCAUAUGCCCAUAAUCACAUCUCUGGUCAUAAUAGUUGUUCAUAACCGAUUAUAGCAUCGUCAUUUAACUUUAUGUUAACAAAAACCUCGUUUCAAACCUUCACAAUACUGACAACGAGACAUAGGGCAUGAAGACCUCAUAAUUAUUUACCUGAAUUAACGAGUCACACUUAACGUCACCUAGGCACCAACCUCGUAGGGUAAAACUCAAUAAUUAUAAUACGAAUAUGGCAAAUUAUGCACAGAGUAACACAUAUAAGAAUGAUCAAAUAAGCCUAGCACGCGUGACUCCCUAUAAGUAAUAUAGUACAAAUUUAAUUUCACAAGAGAGAAUUUAAACACAUAAAUUUUUAUCACAAGGAUCUCAUCCUGAUUUAACUUCCACCGUGGCACGUAGCCCGAUUUAAAUAUAUCAAAUCAUAUUAAAAUGUGAGGAUUCCAUCCUCAGAUCUGAAUCACAAGUAAUAUGCAUAUCAUGCCAAUCAAAAUCUUUCCAUUUUCUUCUAUAAAAUAAUUCUCGUUAUACAAAAUCACAACACACAAUGAACUCCCAUACCAGUAGGGUAUAAAAUUCACAAAUUGUAAUCAAUUAUCCAGAAAUUACAUCAAACUUACCAUAAUGAGUAACGAAAGCCACUUUUAGCCUCACAUCUCUUUUUAGUGACUAAAACAGAAUGAUAGACAUGGGUAUCUCCAUAGAAUCUCCCAACAACGGUAAACACAUAAGUAGGUUAUUGAAUUACGAAGCACACCCUAAGUGGAGCAUAAUAGGAGGACUCGCCUCGAUACUCAGAACCGAAUCAAGUUAAGGAAAUUAUUCCUUUUAAUAAAUCGAGAUCGUAACUGUAACGACUCCAUAUGGUGUAGUGGCCUUAGCCAUACCAUGAAAAAUAUAUCAAUGGGCCGGGCCUCCACCUCUAGGAUGCUCUCUACCCAUCUGUCCUCCACCCCUAACUGAAUAUGUAGGUGGAGUAGCAACUGAAAUGGAGCCCGUAGCUUGAGUGUUCUGAUGAAAUCUGUCUCUCUCAAGUCUGGGAUAAUUUCUCAUGAUGUGCCUACUACCACCACACUCAUAACAAUCCUAUGCGGGUUCGGUUGCUCAUAUUGAGCCUGUGCCGGAUAACUGAAAUAACCAUUAUAGGAAUCUCGUGCCGGUGGUGCAUUAAAGAACUUACUGGUGCACCCCGAGUAAUUUGAUGUGUGGAUUGAGCUGAUCUAUUGAUCGAGUCUCUGUCAUAAUGAGUUAUAGUUGCUGAGUAGAAUCCACUAAAUCCUAUAGAACCUCGAGACCCCUUGGUCUCCUCAGUUUCCUUUUCCUCACCCUGAACAUGUUCUAACAUCUUGGCAAUUUCCACCACUUGCUAAAAUGAAGUAUCAGCUUGUAGCCCCCGAGUCAUACAGAAUCUAAGAUCAUAACUGAGCCCUUCAAUAAAUCUGUAAACUCACUCUCUUGCUGUAGGAAUCAAAGUAGGAGUAUGACGGGCUAACUCUUUGAAUUUGAUAGCAUAUUCUGAAACCGUCAUGGUGUCCUGACGCAACCAUUCAAACUUUGUGCGCCACGCAUUUCGUAGAGUCUGGGGAACAAACUCCCUAAAAAAUAUUUCUGAAAACGGAGCCCAAGUAGGUGAUGUUGCAUCGGCUGGUCUGUCAUCUUCAUAGACUUGCCACAAACAUCGGUGGAGAAUUGUCCCUCCCUCCAAAGGCCAAUUUCUUCCUUUGCUAUGCUGACCCAACAACGCCGAGCUCACCCAUUUCUUCACAUAUUCCUCGAUUCUUCCUUGGGGUAAUACUUUCCUCUAUUUGUACACAACGAUCCCAAAAGUAAAUCUCCGUACAGACAAAUCUUGGCACGAACCACAUAGCCCAUAAGCUCAUCAACCACCGUACUUCUGCCGAGGCACCCUAUACUGCCGCAACCGAUAUGCUCACGCUAAGUAAAACUUCUGCAAAUUUGAAGUUGUUUCCCUAACUCCUUUGGUACUGAAGUAUAGGAUUGGUAAGGACGCAGACAUACCACAAGUCCCAACAUUAUCACCUGCAAAAUCUCAAGCCUUAAACAUGUGCAAUAUUUUUUUUGGGGAACCUUUCAGUAUCACAUAUAUGCAUCUUAGGAUAGAACUAAUAUAACACAUGACCCCGCAAUAUGUUCGUCUACAGUGGACUCCCUCACUUGGCGUGAUGCCAUAGGACACAACGUCCAAUGUUCCACAAUACUAAUCUUCACAGCUCAUAGUCAUUAACCAGAUGCCAGAAUCUGCCGCACUCCCACGUAAAUCACUGAGUGAUCUUUCAAUACAUAUGCGUCUUCAAUCGGGACCACAUGUUAAGGCGAUGUUUAAGCAUCCCUGGCUCCCUUGUAGUCCAUCCGCAGCAUCACAAACCGUCAGCGCACAGCUGAUACCGAGUGCGCAAUGUUAUACACGAGUGGAUGUAAAUGAAUAUAAGAUAUAUGCUUCAAGCAUGAAUCAGUAUCGCACGAUAAGGAAUAAAAGAAGUGAAAUUUCCUAAUAGUUUCCGUAGCCUCUCGAAGAUAAGUACAGACGUCUCCGUACCAAUCCGUAAAACUCUACUAAACCUGCUUAUGACUUGUAGCACCCGUAAACCUAGAGCUCUGAUACCAACUUGUCACGACCCAAAUUUCCCUCCGUAGGAUGUCUUGAUGGCACCUAGUUUUAGGGACUAGGUAAACCUAACACUUACUGAAUUAGUGGUGACUCAACCAACAAGUAUUAGAUAUGAAAUAGAAAUUUCUUACAAUUCCAAAAUCGGUAGUACAAGUCACAAGCUCUACAGAGUUUACUAGAAAAAUCUCUAAAUACAACUGUUCUAGAAUAGAAUCAACAGUGCAAGAAAAUAUCAGAAGGUGACUCUGAGGCAUGCGAAUGCGAUAUCAGGUAUAUCUUAAGUUUCCACAACAAUGUCUAAAAGAGAGUACAAAAUUAGAGUAAACACUUUAAUGAAUUCACAAAAAUAUAGUCAAUUUCAAUACCAAGCACACAAGAAUUUAAAGAAGAUUUGUUGGGUAUUCUUUCAACAGUUGUACUGGAUGAAAAUGAGCUAACUAAAUCUACAUUUUACAGAAAUGAUAGAAGCAGAACUGGCAAAAGAAAGAAAUAAUUACCCUCAUUCCUCCAAUUACCAAUAGAGCUCAAUAGCUAGGAUGAAAGACACAAGAGUGGAACUGAUUCUCAUUGGUACUUAGCUCAUGGAUGCAAUCACCGGUGGUCAAUGACCAAACGUUAACGGACUCCUCACUUACUGAUGCCAGUAGAUCACCAUUGAUAUCCCAACAAAGGUAGUUCACCACUCCAGAAUGUCCCUAUAAACACAUUUACUUUGGGAUGACUGGAAGAUCCAGAAAAUACAAAAGUGCCAGAAACAUAAAUUGAUCGAGUAACAGUCAAUUUAAUCCACCAAAAGAGGGAAGGUAACGAUGAACCUGGAAAGACUGUAGUUGCCUGUCAUUUUCGACGUCAAAGAUUGAAACCACCUUAUCUGAUGCGGCAGCCAGCUGAUGACCAGUUAUGGGCUGGAAUCUCACUUGUGCACUGCCUCCUUGCUUCAAAUAGAAAGAGGAGACAAAUUGAAGAUAGUUCAAUGCAAAAUUAUCA